AGUAACGGCGAGUGAAGCGGGAAAAGCUCAAAUUUAAAAUCUGGCGGCUUCGCCGUCCGAGUUGUAAUUUAGAGAAGUGCUAUCCGCGCUGGACCGUGUACAAGUCUCCUGGAAUGGAGCGUCAUAGAGGGUGAGAAUCCCGUCUUUGACACGGACUACCAGGGCAUUGUGAUACGCUCUCGAAGAGUCGAGUUGUUUGGG
rnacentral:rRNA from 1 species